rnacentral:rRNA from 1 species
UACGGGGGGGGGCAAGCGUUGUUCGGAAUUACUGGGCGUAAAGGGCUCGUAGGCGGCCAACUAAGUCGGAUGUGAAAUCCCCAGGCUCAACUUGGGAACUGCAUCCGAUACUGGAUGGCUUGAAUUCGGGAGAGGGAUGCAGAAUUCCAGGUGUAGCGGUGAAAUGCGUAGAUAUCAAGAGGAACACCAGUGGCGAAGGCGGGUCCCUGGACAACACCUGACACUGAGGCACGAAAGCUAGGGGAGCAAACAGG